GUCCACGCCCUAAACGAUGCGAACUGGAUGUUGGGUUCAACUUGGAACCCAGUAUCGAAGCUAACGCGUUAAGUUCGCCGCCUGGGGAGUACGGUCGCAAGACUGAAACUCAAAGGAAUUGACGGGGGCCCGCACAAGCGGUGGAGUAUGUGGUUUAAUUCGAUGCAACGCGAAGAACCUUACCUGGUCUUGACAUCCACGGAACUUUCUAGAGAUAGAUUGGUGCCUUCGGGAACCGUGAGACAGGUGCUGCAUGGCUGUCGU
rnacentral:rRNA from 1 species